rnacentral:lncRNA from 1 species
AUCCUUCCCAAGUAAGGCGGUUGUUUUUAUUUACUCUAUUUUUCUUCCCAAGUAAGAUAAGUUACAGAACAAAUCCUUCCCAAGUAAUCAAAUUUAACCAUUAGAUUACAAUUUAUGUGGACCACACACCUUUGAAAAGAUAAAAAUAAUAUUUUUGGAGAAAAAAAUAGUCUCAGGUCAGUCAUUAGAUUAAUUCAAAUGGAUUUUAACCAUAAAUAAUGGGAGAUAAUUUAAAAUAUUUAAAAACAGUUGUGUCUUAUGUACAAGUCUUAAUUCGUUUAUCAAUCCUUUGAAUACUUGAAUAUUUAUAUAUUUUUAUAUAUUUUAAAUGACAAAUACAAAUACGAUAGAUUCAAACACAGAUGCUGACGUGUCAAACACAUCUCAUUCUGUAGAAAACAAAUUAAACUAGCUAAGUUAAUAUGUGUACAUGUCCUAUUCAUUUUUCAAUUUUGUGAAUACUUGGAUAUUUAUUAUUUUUUAUAUAGUUUAAAUGACAGAUAUAAAUAUGGCAGAUCGACAGAUACUAUGUGUCACACAUCUCAGUCUACAAGAAAACAAAUUAAAUCAGCUAAGAUGAUAUGUGUUUGACACAUCAACAUCUUUAAAUUAAACCAAUUGAAUUAAUACGUGCGUGAAUCUGUAAUUUAUAUCUAUGCACCUAAGGGUAUGUUUGGCUGGUGGAUUAGGAGGGGAUAACUUUUUUCCUCGGAUAAUUUUUUCCCCCGCGUUUGGCUGGCGGAUAUGGGCGGAUAUGGAGGCGGAUAUAUAAAUUUUUCCCCCGGAUAAUUUUUCCCCUAGCAGGUGGAUAGAGGCGAAAAUGUUUAGGUGACCUAGAACCCUAACAAAAGUUAUCCGGGAAUAAGGGGGGUGGGGAUAGAAAAAAUAUAUAUAAAGAGAAACAAGGUUAAUUUUUUUUUAUAUAUAUAGAAAAAAAUAAACAUAUUAGAUUUUUAAUAUCAAGAUAUUUUACAUUUGUUUCUCUCAAUAUCUGUACUCCUUGUAUAUCACACCUUAUCCACUCAUUCUAAAAAGUAUCAAAAAUAAAGUUAAAAGUUAUCUCCCUUCAAAACUUAUUCCCCUUCUAAAAAUUAUUCUCUCUAAAAGUUAUUCUCCUCCGAUCCUCUAGCCAAACGGACCCCUAACCUCAAUCCAUCCCCCCUAGAAGGGUAACCUGGCUAUGAAAUUUCCAAAUUUAUAUAGCCAUUGGUCCAAAUGCAUUUAUGAAGGGCCCACAACAUUAAAUUCUAUGUUUUGAGGUUAACCUCAACUUGGCUAAAGCCGCUUCCCACGUGAUCCCGUGGAUGACCAAAUUGAAUGGUUGACAAUUCAUAGGAGGAUAGUUUUCGCAAACUUUGGUUUUUUCGAAUUGCACUUUUUUAUAUUUUUAUUAAAUAAAAUUACUUAAAUAUAUUUUUAUAUUAUUAAAAAUAAAAUAAUACAAAAUAUAAAAGUAUUUGGAUAAUUUUAUCUACUAAAAAAGAAAGUGCAAAUUAAAGAAACAGAAAUAAAAAAAUCAAGGACGGCCAUGUACCUAGAGUGAGUACAUUAAUAGAUAUCAGGUUCUAAGUUGCGCUAGCUAAAUUAAUUCAAUUUUAAAUUUAUUUAUAAUUUUUUUUACCUGAUUUUAUUAUUUUUAAUGAUUAAAAUUUCAUUGUUUUUUAUCAAAAUUAUUUAUCUUUGUCUUUUAGAUAAUUUGUUGAGUAUAACUUUAAUUUUUUAUAUUUUAAAAUUAUUUUUGUUAAGAGAAAUUAAAAAAUUAAAAAAUUUAAUUUAACGAUAAAAAAAUGACUAAAACAAAAGCUAACAAAACAAAAUAACUAUGCAAGACAAAGGCCGGCGGCCGGCCCCCUAUUGAAAAAUAGGCAUGCAUAAAGACAAGGGCAGCGCUAGCUAGACACGGUGCAUACUUGGCAGAGAUUAUUGUACGAUUUUUUUUGUUUUAAAAAUUGUAUCAGAGUAUUUGAUAUAAUUUUUAUUUUUAUUUUUAUUUGUGAAUUAAGAAUAAUUUAUAAAAAUUAAAAAAUAACUGAUUUUUUGAAAGCUUUAUUAUGAAAUUUUUCAAGUUAUGUUCAAUUGUAUUAAACACCCUCAUAAAAUAUGAAGUCUAUUCAUUUAAGGUGUGUUUGGAUAAAAAAUUUAUUAAAAAGAAAAAAGAAAAAGCUCCGGACUAAAUUAAAUUUUUGAGCGAUUGGAUUUACAAUGUUUCUUCUUUAAUUUUUUUUUUCCUUCAUUAAAUUGUUAAUAUUGAUAAAAAGAAUUUUUUUUAAAUUUAGGAUAUUACUAAUUUGACUGCUGUGUAAUUCACACUUCGUCUUGGUAAUUAGUUACUCCCACCCCUGACAACCCCACCCCUUAACGUGACUAAUAAAUUUUUUUAAUUUUUUACUUUUACCAUAAUUCCCCUACCAACUUCCACUUUACCAUUAACCAUUUAAUUCUUUUUUUUUUAAUACCACUGUUAUUUAUUAAAAAGAUAUUCAAAAAUUUUUAAUUUCUUUUAAUUUUAGCUUCCGAAAUUUUAUAAUUUCUUUUACUCCCACCUUAUAUUUUUAUAAAAAUAAAAAAUAUAGAGCAAGAUCUGUAAUAAUUUUUUAAAUUUUCUCUCAAUUUAUAAAAUUUAAUGCAAAACUAAUUAAUAUAUAUUUUUUUAAAACACUAAAGCGAAACAUUUAGAAUUUAUUCAACUAAAUAAAUUUCACUCAACUACAUAAAUUUUUUUUAAAACACUAAAGCGAAAAAAAAAAUAUCUGGAUUUUUAGCUUUAAUUUUUUUAUCUUAAAAAAUUUAUGUUAAUUAGUUUUGUAUUAAAUUUAUAAAUUGAGAGAAAUUUUUAAAAAAAAAUUACAGAUUUUGAUCCAUAUUUUUUUCUUUUAUAAAAAACUAGAUGUGGGAGUAAAAGAAAUUAUAAAAUUUUAUUAUAAAAAUUUUUUUAUAUAAAAAUUUAGAAGGUGAAAGUAAAAAAAAAUUAAAAAUUUUUGAUUAAAUUUUUUUUAAUAAAUAACAAGAAGGUAGUAUUAAAAGGAAAAAAAAUUAAUAGGUGAGAGAGAGAUGAGAGAGAUAAGAAGAAGGGUAAAAUUGAAAAAAAAAAGAAUUUUAUGGCACAUCAUCCCCCCCUGUCAGGGGGAUUGGGGAAAACAGUUCUCUUCAUCUUGGCACCACCAGGCCUGAAUUGGGACCAAAGUUACCAAAACACCCUCAUGAUCAUCCUUAGCCCUCAAAGUCCUAGAACAAUGAAAAGAUAUAUUUCAUACAUACAAUAAUACACUUGUGAUAGCAAUAUCCAUGACUCAUCGCAAGCACAUAUCUAGACAAAAAUUCAAGAAGAAAAAUGUUACUUUACUUAAAAUAUAUAUCAUAAUAUGGUACUAAAAGAUUCACAAUUAAUCAUGUUAUUCGGUAUUCAUCGGUUUUCAAGUCCUCUAACAGGUUAGUUAUCCCCAACCUGAGGCAGGUCUUGAUCUUUGUGGGGCCUUCCUUGUGCCUAUGUGGCGCGUGGACGAAGCUUCCCAUGAACCUAGAGUCCUCGGUCGGAUCGUCCUUGUCGUUGAUGAGCACAUCGAAUUGAAAUUCUACCUUGGAACCUUUUUGAAAAGAUGAGUUCCGACAAGGUUGAAUAUUGAAUUCCAACUAAUCACUAAUAAUUCUAUGUACUAACAAAAAAAGAUGAUAAUAAUAAUAAUAAUAAUAAUAUAAUUAUUUUAAAAAAUUCCCCAUAAAAAGAAAACGAACUUAUGAAAUUUUAGGUCCAAUUUUACCUCAGUGGUGGUUGAUGUUUUUUCUGCUGCCAUGGCCAAUUGCCUCCUCCUUCCUGGGCACUUUCAAACUGAUGGAGGAUCUGAACUGGAUUGCUGGACAGCACCAUUAAAGUCAAUGCAACAUCAAGGGAAAAAGAUUAGGUCAAAUUAAUAAAAUACUUAAUGGUGGGAACUGGCUCAAACUAUUACUUUAUAUAUUACUUUGGAGAAAACUCAUUUCAGUGGCAUAUUGAGAAAAAUAUAUCAAAUUAGAUGUAUAAUGCAAAAUUAUCUCCAAUAAAUGGAGACGCAGACAUCUAAAAUAAUAUUAUAAAUAUGAGAUUAUUCGUUAAAUGGCGCCAAUGAAGUGAGUGGAAUGAUUGUCUGAUGCAAAUAAAAAAGUGAAUAGUUGAAUAUUUUUUUAGGUAAAACACUUGCAUCUCACACUUAUUUUAUUUGUACGAGAUAGAUAAUUUAUUUACACUCAGUCUUAUAUUUUUUUAGAAAUUCGUUUAGUUGACGUUUCUUAAAACUUAUUUUUUUGAUAGUUUUUUUAAAUAAUUAUUUUUGAGAAAACAUUAGAUAUACGUUUUUAAAUUCUUGAAAACUAUUUUUAUUAGAAACUAAAUAACAUAUGAAAAAGGUAAAUGUUUAGAGCAUUCAUAUUAGUUUUACUAUUUAUUCAUUCUAUUUUUAAGAAUUUUUUUCAACCAUCAUAUUUGUUAAAUGGUCAUAUUAUUCCAACGGCGAUAUUUUUUAAAUGAUAUAUUUUUAAAAUGGUUAUAUUUUUAAGAAUGUCGUAUUAUUCAAACGGUUGUAUUUUUUAAAAUAUAUUUUAAAAUGAACAUUUUUUUGACUCAUAUAUUUUUAAUUAAAUGGUAUACAGAUAAAAAAACUAAUUUUAAAAAAUAAAAUAAUUUAAAAUAAAUAUUUUCAAUAAUUAAAUUAUUAAAUAUUAACUUUUAUCCAACUUGAUACCUAGCAGCCUAUCCUCUUACAGCGUCGGCAAAGACUAUGAAUUCUUGGGGACCGCAAAACUUACCCUGAUCCGACUAUAGCGCAUAUGUUCAAUAAUCAUGUUUAAUAAAUACAAAGUCUACUAGUGUAAGAAAUUAAAAUUAUAUCAUUUUUCAUAGUCAAGACAAAAGUAUUAAAAUUUUGCGCUCCAGUCUUACUGAUAGUGUAUCUAGUUUCAUCUAAGAUUUUGAACAAUAUAAGUCUAAUCUUUCGUGUGUAAGCAGUAUUCUUCUACACGUCAAAUUA